rnacentral:rRNA from 1 species
CGUAAUGGCCGGCCCUGCCGGUAAAGAGAUAGUCUCAAUCUCGUGGGGAGACCCAUGACAGCUUUUGCAUUAAAUCAGUUAUCGUUUAUUUGAUAAUACCUUACCACUUGGAUAACUGUGGUAAUUCUAGAGCUAAUACAUGCUAAAAACCCCGACUUCGGAAGGGGUGUAUUUAUUAGAUAAAAAACCAAUGCCCUUCGGGGCUCCUUGGUGAUUCAUAAUAACUUAACGAAUCGCAUGGCCUUGCGCCGGCGAUGGUUCAUUCAAAUUUCUGCCCUAUCAACUUUCGAUGGUAGGAUAGUGGCCUACCAUGGUCUUAACGGGUAACGGGGAAUUAGGGUUCGAUUCCGGAGAGGGAGCCUGAGAAACGGCUACCACAUCCAAGGAAGGCAGCAGGCGCGCAAAUUACCCAAUCCCAAUCCGGGGAGGUAGUGACAAUAAAUACUGAUACAGGGCUCUUUCGGGUCUUGUAAUUGGAAUGAGAAAAAUCGAAAUCCCUUAACGAGGAACAAUUGGAGGGCAAGUCUGGUGCCAGCAGCCGCGGUAAUUCCAGCUCCAAUAGCGUAUAUUAAAGUUGUUGCAGUUAAAAAGCUCGUAGUUGAACCUUGGGUCUGGCUGAUCUGUCCUCCUAAUCGAGCGCAC